CACGCAGGCGGCCUUUUAAGUUUGACGUGAAAGCUCCCGGCUUAACUGGGAGAGGUCGUUGAAGACUGGAAGGCUUGAGACGAUGAGAGGGGUGCAGAAUUCCCGGUGUAGUGGUGGAAUGCGUAGAUAUCGGGAGGAAUACCAGUGGCGAAAGCGGCACCCUGGCAUCGGUCUGACGCUCAUGUGCGAAGGCGUGGGGAGCGAACG
rnacentral:rRNA from 1 species